UACAGAGGUGCCAAGCGUUAGGCGGAAUCACUGGGCUUAAAGCGCGUGUAGGUGGACGGGUAAGUAUCUUGUGAAAUCCCACGGCUCAACCGUGGAACUGCUGGAUAUACUGCUUGUCUUGAGGCACUUAGGGGCAGCUGGAACAAAUGGUGGAGCGGUGAAAUGCGGAGAUAUCGGGAGGAACACCUAUGGCGAAGGCAGCUCGCUGGGACGGUACUGACGCUCAUGCACGAAAGCGUGGGGAGCAAACAGG
rnacentral:rRNA from 1 species